AUUAUAAGUGCUUGUAACCGAAAAAGAAUAGUACACGAUUGACUUCCUUUGGGUAUAAUAGUGUAUAAGGGUAUACCUGGCAACCCAGCUCUGGUCUAAAAAUCCAGCCCUGGUCCGAUUUUCCAGCUCAGCGACGCAAUCCCAGCAAUGCCCACCCGCUGGUCUGCCCAUCCAGCUCUGCAUCGCGCUGCUCAUCCAACUCUGGAUUUCUUGCCCAAAGCUUCUGGAUCUUCAAGAGGCAACAAUUCCCACAGCUGAUGCGGUAGCCCUAAAGAUGACACACCAAAGCUGAAAAGACUCAACGAAUGCACCUGAUCUGAAGAACUCAAUGCUGUUUGUUCAGAGUGAUGGUUCCUGAAUUGAAGUUCAAACGCUGAUGCUCGUGAGCUGAAGCACCAGAGCGGCAGUUAUUGAACCAAAACUCCAACCACAGCUGAAAUCACGGAGGGACUUGUGUUAAAGUCCCUUGAACUGAUUGAUUUAAAUUCAGAUUUGUUUUUCCUCAUGGCACCGUCCAAAUGCAAAGGAUGUGUCAAGUAUAUACUUUUGCUUCAUUUUCUUAGGAAUAGCACCUCCCGUUCUGUCCCUUGCUCUCACUUGAAACUUGGCGACUUGUACUCUCUUGGUUAUGCCCAAGUUCUUUUGUACCUUUUUCUUUAUUUAUUUUAUUUUCGUAUUUUCAUAAAAAAAAAAAAAUAGUGUAUUAGAGUAUACACGAAUCAAGUAUGGGUCCAGUCCAACAACUUGUUAUCCGUAACAUGAGAAAGUCUUCGGCAACUACCCGAAAGAAAAAGAAGAAAAGAUGAUGACAGCUCUUAUUAAAUGCCGCUGCAUUAGCUAUCAACACCUAGAGCUACAGAUUUACCCCCACCACUCCGCCGUCGCCAACUCCUCCAUUUCCAUCUCCAACAAUUUUAUUACCAACCAAUGUUUUACUGCGUUUUACUUUUCUUAUCCCUUUCGAAUUCUUCAAAAUCAAGCCAACUAUUAACAAAAGAAACAAAGGUUUUCUGAUAGCAUCACCAAAUACAUAAACUUUAUCGAAAGACUCACGUAUCGAAGAACCCAAAAUAGCAAUCACAUGACUCAUGUGAGAUUUACGGCUCACACAAACCCCUCUCCAAAGCUCCAACAAUCGAAGAAAACCAAACCGUGAAACGCUUCUGACUUGGUACACCUCACAGAGAUAGAAAUGCCGAAUCUGCCGUUUGAGCUCGUCGAGGACAUCCUCCGCCGCCUGCCGGUGAAAUCGCUCAAGCGCUUCCGCGCUGUCGCGAAAGCGUGGUGCUCUUUGAUUGACAGCGAGAAUUUCAUCAAGCUGCACCUGCGCCAAUCGCUGAUUUCCAUCUCUAAUCGGAAUCUGAUAAUCGGCGGCCUAGGCGUUUACAGCGUAGAUAUGGAGGCGCUCGACAGGGCUCACGUCAUCAAGCCGCCGUUCUAUUACAAGAGCGUCGAUGGGAUCUCGAAUUCCUGCAACGGAAUAGUUCUCGUGAUGAGCGAUCCACCUGUUCUGUGGAACCCUUUCUCCAGGGAUUACAGGAUUUUGCCCAAUUGUUCGACUGAAUUGCAAGCUCCGUUUGAAUCCUACGGCAAGGUUGCGUAUGGAUUCGGAUACGAUCCGGUGAGCGAUGAUUACAAGGUUGUUAGGGUUGCGGAAUUUAGGCAUAAGAUAACUCAUAUCUGGAUGGCUUCGGAGACGAAGAUUUAUGCCCUCAGAUCAAAUUCGUGGCGGAGAAUUGGGGAUUUCCCUUAUCCGCUGCCGUUCCUGAGGGGGAAUUGGCGCGUGCACGUCAACGGGGCUAUGCAUACCCUUGUGGAAGAUCUGGAUGAAAUGGACGGCGCCGUGGCGGUGAUAAUGGCUUUCGAUUUGAGGAGCGAGAAGCAUUCUCCAAUAAUGAUGCCGCCCGGGAUCCGGCUCCGAGGCGUCGAUGUUAGCUUGGAUGUGCUUGAUGGGUGCCUCUGUGUGGUUUGCACCAGUAGGUACAGGGUUGUGAUUUGGGUGAUGAAGGAGUAUGGAGUGAGAGAAUCUUGGGUGAAGCUGCUGACGAUUAGCCCUCCGUUGAUCGAGCGGAACGAUAUCGUGAAGCCAUUGAUGUAUGCCAGGGACGGCGCUAGGGUUCUGUUGAAUAUUGAUGAUAAGAGGCUUGUUUGGUAUGAUUUAGGAACGAACACAGGUGAGGAGAUUGUUGUUGAAGGUUUGCCAUUUGUGUUCUAUGCUGAAGCUUGCGUUGAGAGUCUCGUUGCGCUUGAUAAUGGCAUGGAUGAGGUGAAGAAGAAGGUGCAGCGGAAGGAGAAGAAAAAGGAAAAGAUCAGAAGCAAAAGGUGAUGUAUUAGCUGUCUGAUUAUAUGGGAAUUUAUGUAUGUACAUAUGUUGGCUGGCUGACUAUAAAGGAAUUUAUAUUGACUUGGGGUUUACUUGUAUUAUCAAGUCAACUUUGAAUAUUAUUUUCUGGAUGUCACUUGCAACCAAUAGAAUUGCAGUGUUUUUUUGGCUAAGUUCUUUAAUGUAACAUCACAUUGUGCAAUUAUUAGUUUUGGUCCUAGAAAUUUGCUCGAUGCAAUUUCACAUACAAAUUUACCUUGGUUGUUGCUAUCAUAUAUGUGGCCAGCAUUCUAAGAUUUGGCUGAUGGGUGAAAAUUUUAACUUGACUUCUUGGUGAAUAUCUGUGGCGUAAAUUGUUAUCUCUUGUCUUGAUUCUUGAGUUUUUCUUUGGCUGAUGGGCGAAAGUUUAACCUCUGAGUUCUUGGGAUGAUGAUUUCUUGUCCGAAGGGUUCAAGUUGGUACUCUAACAUGAAGAACAGAAGCACUAGAAGAAGAGCCUCCAACCAAAGACCCUAAAAAACGGAAUAAAGCAUUUUGUUUGUACGAAAUUCAGAUGUUCCGGUUGCAGGACGCCGAUGAACUCGGGUGAUGAAGAAUAACAGGAAAAAGCUCACUCAAUUUUUCUGUCAAACUCCUGUGUCCAUGGUUCCUCCAAGGCUGCUAUUCUGGUAGAGCCGGUUAUAUAGCAUAUCAACAAGUGAUUAUGAAUUAUUCCAUGGAGAAGGAAGUCGUGGACACAAAUGGUCGCCGUUUGCUGUUGGAAAAUUUGGUAAGCAAUGGAGCCCAUGACAGCCCCAAUUAUCUACUUCCUUGUAGGAAGUUAGGCUUGUGAGGUUGCAACACAAGCCAGAGAGACACCUUUGUUUCCGUUUGCUUUCUGAGUUCUCUUUGUGGGUGCGUAAAGUUUCAGUCCACUAUAGCUAGUGUAUAUUUAAAUUUUGUCUACUGUUACAAAAAAAGAUACCUGUGAGUGUGACUUUGAACGGCUGCGUCCGCGUAUGCGUAUGGUACUGUAUCGACUUUGAUGAAUGAUAUGUAGCUUGUUUACUUCUGUUUAUGGUAUAUAUCAGAGCGUCCUUUGUCA